UUUUUUUUUUUUUUUUUUGAGACAGAGUUCCACCACGCCUGGCUAAUUUUUGUAUUUUUAGUAGAGAUGGGGUUUCACCAUGUUGGCCAGGCUGGUCCAGCUCUGCUUAAGGGUGGCCUGGAGGGCUGCAGGAGGGACCUGCUUGCAGCCCAGGGCAGCUGGACACAGGGAGGCCGCCACACUCAUCCAGCGACUCCACGCUACACAGGGGAGAGAUGCACCAGAGGUGGGAGUUAGACAAACACAGGAGUCAAACCCUGGGGGCAGCACCCUCGCACCUCUCAGCAUGACCAGGGGGCAUUCUGCACGCCGGGAGACCUGGGCUGUCACGAUGGCGGGGUGGGGCGCCACUGGCAUGGAGCAGGAGGUCGGGGAUGCUGCUGGAUGUCCUGCAAUGCACAGGACACCCCCCCACAACAGAGAGCCCACGGUGGCAGAGGCGCCAGGCUGAGACCCUGUGCGAGAAGACCAUGACAAGGCAUCAGCCAUGAGCCAACACCCCUGCCGGGAGGACAGGACCAGCUCCUCUCAGCUUUCCCUCCCAUGGACCCUAGACUUGGGCUUGGUCCUGGCUUCGACAUGAAGCCCCAGGCACUGGGCAGGACUGGAAGGAAUGGCUGAGCAGCCCACUCAUCCAGCAACCACCCAGCCUCCACACCGGGCAGUCUGCUAUCCAGUCAGCCUCCACCCACAAGGAGGGGACAGCGUGACAGGGGAGGGAGGAAGAGAAUCACCGUGGACAGACGGUGACAUUUGCCAGAGCCCACAGAGACGCGAGAACAGACCCAGUGCAGAGCCUGAGUGGGGCCCUCCAGCCCCUUCCUUGUGCCUAAGAGGCAUCUUCCUCAGGGGCUGGUGGGGCUGCCGUGAAAGCAAACGCACAGCCAAACCCCGGGUUGGGGGAAGGCAAACUGCAAAGGCCGCGGCGACCCCGGCACAGCAGCCCCGUCAGCAGGAUCCCCUCGAGAACGGGGUAAUUGCAGUGGGAGCGAGCGCUCCAAAGGCCCUGGGGAGAUGACUUCAGGGAAAAGCGGCCUUAAUCCCUGAGUCAGGCAGAUGCGGCCAUGGGAACCAUCCACCCAGAGGCUGGAGGGGAGACUCCGCCGUGGCUAAAGCCAUCCUGCUGACAGGGCCCAGGGACGCCCCCAGUGGCCAAACACACGUGGGAACGGGAUCGUCCCCCUCCUCUGUGACGUGGCCAGCCCUCCAACCCUCUGGCUCCUGACUCAGAGGACAACAUCUCCCCAUGAACGCGGUGUCCCUGGAGAGAAGAGUCUGCCCAGCCUGGGGAACAUGGGAAUGUGGAGAGGGAGGGCAUCCCGGAGCCUCAGGGCUGACGGGGCCCUGCCCCAGCCCUGGAAACACCUCAGGGACAAGAGAGUCACUCCUCAAGCGCGGACUUUCUGCUGUGCUGGGGCCUUCCGCCUUCCAACCACUCUGGCCCCUUUGGGCUCUAGGUGGAGUGUGCUGAACAGUGUCCCCAAAAUUCACGUCCAGUGGAGCUGCAGGAUGUGUCCUAGCUACAAAUGCGGUCUCCGCAGGUGCAAUUAGCGAAGGACCUUGAGAUAAGAUCAUCCCGGAUUAGAGUAGGCACUAAGGCCGACAACAAGCAUCCUCAGCGACACAGAGGAGACAGAUCCAGGGGAGACAGAGCCGGAGCCAGCCCAGGAUGCCUGGAGCCACAGGCAGCUGGAAGGGGAAGGUGGCACCUUGGGUCUGGACCUCUGGCUGCCAGGACCGGGACCGUCUGCAUGUCUGUUGCUAAAGCCAGUCUGUAGGCAUCUGUCACCACACGAGGGGCCAACCGUGCCACCCAGGGGAGACCUCCCUGGCUUCUCAGUGCGUCAGAUAUGGUCAGGGGCAGGACAGCUGCAGCUCACACCCCACUUCUCAGUCACCAGCCGAGUGCACAGCCAAUGGAUCCUCAUCUAAGAGGUGGCUGUGAGUCCCGUGUGGUCAGCAUCCUACAGCUAUAGCUGCCCUGUGGGCUCAGGGAGGACGUGCAGUGACCACCACAUGGGUUCGGUCCAGAGCCCAGGCCAGAGUGCAUGCCCACCCCAGGCCAGAGUGCAUGCCCACUCCAGGCCAUGGCGCCGCUUUUCAGAUGCCUGUUUCGCUCUGGCCGUCUAACGUCUGGGAACCGUGAUGGGGCAGGAAUUUGGGUUUGGGGGUUCUGGCGGUGACCAGAUGGCACUUUUGGACCACCAACAGUGUCUGUCGGUCUUGGAAACUCAUGAAGGAGUGGGCCCUUUGCUUAGAACUGCCAACCUCACACCAGAAGUAAAAGCUUUUUCCAACUCCACAGGCCGGAAAAGACCUUGAGAACUGUCCCCAGCACAGGGCUGUGGCUGUGGCGCCUCCCACACUCACCUUUUCCUGCGGCUGCUCUGGCCUCUGUCCAUGCGUCUGACGAAGGGCACCGGGAGGUGAAGGCCGCGGGAAAACAAGCCCCGCUCCCGUCCUUUGAUUCUGUCCCAGCACACGGCACCGGCAGAGCCCCAGCUUCCCCAGCCUGUCAUCCUCCCGAGGCCGACAGCACAGAAGCAUGGCAGGCCCAGGACACACUCAGAGCUCCCAGAGCAAGCGGCAGGUCAAGCGUCCUUUAUCAACUGCGAGGACUUCGAGGCCCAAAAGAGGUGUCCUGAGUCGCGAAGUACCCACCCUUGGGGCAGCCAAUGCCGCAGCCCUGGCUUCAGGCCCAGGUUGUCUGGAGCGGAGCCGCACUCGAGCCUGGCACCAAUCUGGGAGCUCCUGAGCGCAAUGUCCUGUCUGUCCCUGCAUGACCCUGAGCCUGUCUGAGACGCCUCACAGAGAGACGCCCUGGAGUACCCCACAGGGAGGCCAGCCUGGAAGCUUCUUUGGAAAGUGAGCUUUGGCAGCUCGAGGCCGAGCUGUGGCCGACUCCUCCCUCGGUUAACAGCCUGGACCCAGCUGGGGUUCACUUUGAGGCCCUGGGGCGUGCCCUAUUUCCUGCCAGGAGAGCGGGGCCCGAAGCUCCAUCCUGUCCCCCAAAACUCAGACGUGGAAGCCCUAACCCCGGUGUGGCUGUACAUGGACAUGGGCCCUCUACAGAUUAAGGCAGCCCCAAGAGAAAAAGCAGCUGGGAAAAAGGCUCAGAAUCAGUGAUUUCCCCAAGAUCACACAGCCCAAGACCAAAGCCUGGGCCAGCCAGCCUUAAAACCUGUGCGCCAGCCUGCUCUCACCUGUUCCUGAAUGCUAACAGUGGACACGUCUGAGUGAUGGGGUUACCAGGUUUGUUUUGUUUUCCAUGCUUAUCUCAUCUUCUUUAAAAAGCAGACAGAAACACAGAGACAAUCCCACACCUGUCCAUGGAAUGAUGAAUAAAUCACAGCAUGACCAGGAGCAUGGCCCCGUCGGGGGAGGGUGAGGGGCGACAGCACGUGGGACUCUGACAGACCCAGGGUGAGAUGGCGCAGGGGAGGUCUGCAUGGCAGGCAAGGCCCCUGCCAGGCCUGGAAUGUUCCACAUACCCCCCAGGUGAGGUUACAACGCAUCAACUGGGCUCUCAAGACUCACAGACAUCGCAGCAUAAAAAAUGAGAAACCUGCCAGAGCCCCUCCCAGUGGUGGCCACGCUGUCCCACAGGAGCACUCCUGUGUCCCCCUCUGGGUCGGAUUUCACUUGCUGGGUGAUUUUCCCAGAGGGAAAUCUCCAUGUUGUACAGCACUGCAGAGCUGCGGACUGGGAGGCACCCAGGGACGGGACUUCAUGCCCUGGGAAGGACACACAGGCAAAGCCUCGAGGGGCUGCCGGUGGGGCCUGGGGGACGUACUCACCCUUCCCGAUCUGGACGAAGCCCAGCAGGAUGAUCAGGGCCAGGGCCAGGAGCUUGGCGGCGGCAAAGGCAUCCUGGACCCGGGUGGCGGCCUUCACGCUGUAGCAGUUCACGGCCGUGAGCAGCACUGUUGAGACAGAGGGCAGCGGUGAGUUCCACGGGCUCACGGGCAGAUGCCAGCUCCAGCUCCGGGGUAGGCUGGGAGGUGACGACCCCACCCCCACCCCAGGGCCAGGGCUGAGUCCACUAGAAAAACAAGCUCCUUAAACAGCUCCAGUCCCAUGCCAGCCCUUAGGGCAGGUUCUGACUUUCUGGGACCUGUUUUGACAAACUUCACAGUUCUUUUAGGUCUAAGGGCUGGAUCCCAGGUGCCCCUUAAGAUCUGCAAGGGACCUUUCCUCACCCCCCCAACCACACCAGGCCAUGGAGUCCUGUAGUCAGGACUUCAAGUGGGGUCGCUGCCUCCAGAGACCCAGGUGAGCAAGGUGACCCUGCCACUUGGAAGGCACCCAUUACACCUUUUUGCACCUACUCAGCACCUCACCUGACCGUGAGACCCACGCACAGCCCGGCUGCCAGACUCCAUGAGGGCGGGGCCCUUUCCUCAAAGAGGAUCUUCUGUGGAUUCCAACAGAAGUGGGGUGUCCUGCUAUCCUGGAACUACCUGGCCAGUCACCUGGGGACGGCAGCCUGGGAGGGGCCACACGGGCCUGCGGUGAGCAGAGCUGACCCUGCUGCCCUGCUGCUUUGGGGGCACACGAUGAAACCCAAAAUAGCACCAUGUGCUUCAGAAGCCUGAGUGACCCCACACAGAUGGCCAGAACCCCUGCCCCAGGAGGCGCUGAGACGUGGGGUCAGGCACGCUUAGACAGGUCUCCAGACACCAGCAAGUCCUCCUGAGCCCUGUAAGGCACCCAGCUCUGAGCCAGUGUGUGUGUGUGUGUGUUGUGUGUGUGUGUGGUUUUGGGGAGUUCUGUUGUAAUAUGUAGGCACGCUGAGCCACUAUUCAGGGAUCUGUGAGCUGGUGGGGAAACAGCCACCCCCACAACUUAAAAUGAAGUAAAAUCAUAUUAACCCCGAGGCACUGACUCCACGACACCCCUCACUGCCUGCUGCCCUACCCUUCACUCCUCUGCCCACGAGGUUAUUCGUCGCUGUCAGUAGCUUGAAAUAUGCCAGUGGGAACGUCUACACCCCAGAAGUGGGCAAAGGCCCAGCACGGGCCACCCACACAGCUCGGAUCUCACAGCCCUUCCGGCACCGCUCAGACUGCAGGAAGGUGACAGCAUCGGAAAGGCCGUAGGCGCCUCUUCUCUUUCCCCAUGGGAGUAACCUCUUCUCUUUCCCCAUGGGAGUAACGCUCAGAAAGGUCUGGCCAGCCAGGGCCUUGAGGACGCCGGUGGCUUUUCCCCAGCUGAACAAAUCCUAUGGAAUUUUACAAUGUGAGCAACAGACCCUGAGGAAAGACAUCCAUGCUAAUUAACUGAUGACACUGGAAACGUCCUGUGGUGUGGGACGGGCUGCCGCCUGCCUAUCUCUCAGAAAUUAACCACCCCGCUACAAUUCUGUGGAUGCCAGAGCGGAGACGGCUACUACACACCAGGAAAGUCUGGUUGAAAAAUGUCUGAAAGUCAGUGUUUUUGCUGCUAUUCCUACAAUAAAAUACUUGAAAUUCCCUUCCACUCCUCACCCAAACUGAAGAGGUGAUUCUUCACUUCUUCCCAGGGUUCCCAGGGACAUGGAGAUGUUACCAGUCCAGAGCUCUCCAGUCCAACCCUCAGGGCUCAGCAGGGUCAGAUCAGUGGGUCUAGGCAGCUCCUUCUCCGCUGCACAGGGCAAGGGGCAGGUCCUGGCUUGCCAGUCCCAUUUCCUUAUGGUUGGGGGGGUGUGACCAUAAAAUAAACUGAGCCUCGGGGAAC